GGGCUUGAAUUCUUUGAUUCCUGAAGUUGAAUGUCCUCACAUGGUCUAAAUAAGUGUGCACUAUUCGAUGUAAUCAUGAGACUGGUUGUGAGAUUUUCUUCGUCCUGUGAUGAGAAGAUACUGGUUUGAAAUGAUGAAUCAGUGAGAAUGCUGAUGAACUUGUUGGAUCUAAGGAGCAAAUGUCAGAUGCAGGCACAACAACAUAAGUGCACUAUUCCACCUCAUUUGCAAGAUUGGCUGGGAGUUUCUUAGUUCCAUCAUGUGAGGAUCCUUCGAAAUGAAGAGUCGAAGAACAAUUGAUAACUGAGGUGCAAGUGAGAAGUUGCACCGUGUUGGCAUCAGUCUGAGACCUUGUUUGGAAGGAGUUUCUUAGUCUCAUUUUGUGAAGCUAUUUGAAGUGAAGAAUUGAGAAUGAUAACUGAGCCAGUUAAUAUAGGAAGAAGUACUGGGAGCUGCAGGCACAUUUAUUGGAGUAGACCAUCCUGACUACAGACUUGAGAGAAGAACCUUACGGUCUGAAGAUUACAGAACCUACCAUUCACAAGCAAGACUGUCAUUCAGAUACAAUAAUGAAAACUCAUCUGUGGGUGAAAGUUUUAGUCAGUUGCUGAAAGGAAUGUUCUGAAAAGCCAUGGACUGGUUCUGCAGAAUAUUGCUGAAUUUGAAUUCUCGAGCCUAAAUAUGCUUGUGCGUGGGUCCAAUCUAGUCUUACUCAACCAUAAAUUAAGCAAUCUUUUUACUUUGUAAUCAUGUGAAAUAAAUACAAUAAACUUGCUUUAAAAGGUGUAGCAUCA